AAUACUUGUAUUUAUAUGUCUAUGGCUAUUACUCUAUGCUGUCGACAUGUAAAAGUGAAAAGACCACAAUUAGAUAUUUUUUCAAAUUGAAUUCAUCAAACUGAUAACGGAUUAAAUUUUCAAUUCUUUUAGUUAAGAGACUUUCUUAAUUUAUUUGGAAUACAUUCAUCUAUUCUACAAACUUCGAUGAAAAGUUGGUCCUAAAGAAACUAAUAUUUCAGGUGCAUAUUCAACAUUAUGAACCACAAUUGUAUUCGCAACAUUAUCUUUUGAUUCUUUGGGAACUGAAAUGCCUUUAGUUUUUUCUGGUCCAAUUGAAUUUUCUAGAGAUUUAUUAAUGUUGUCAUUAUUUAGUUGGUCGUCAGUAAGAAUAUCACUAGCCUAAAAAAAAUAUUUGAGUUCUUUAAAUUUUUAUAUACUUGUUUUUUAAGAUAAUAAAUUAUGUGUUAUAAAAAAAUUAAUUUUACAUAAUCUGUUCACUGCAAAAAGAUAAUUAUAAAAUUAACUAUAUUUAGUUCAAUAUGGAGCAAAAAAAAAUAUUUUUUUUAAUUGAAUUAAUUAAUUAAAUUUUUAUUAUUUAAAUUAUGCACUACCUGUUGAGAUUCUUUUUUUAUAGUAAUGGUUUCUAUCGUGCUAUUGGUUGUUUCUAACUCCCACCAUGGGGAAUUAGAAGUUGUUUCUCCUUCGGAGGGAGUAUGAUAUGAAGAAGAUCUAGAAGGUGGAGAACCAGUAUAUUCAGAUGCAGUUACAAAGUCUUCGCCAUCAGAUCGACUACUAUUAUUAUUUUCUUCUGAUUUAGAAGAAAUUGAAUUCUUUUCAUCCAUUUUACUCAAAUUAAUAUACCAUUCCUAAAAAAAUUAAUAGAGUCAAUCAAAAAAUUAUUUGCAGUACUUUGAGCUAAGCCUGAAAGUGUAAAAUCCAGUUGCUCAGCCAACUCUGUAACCAUCCCAAGUUUUUUGGAUAUUGAUUCUACUGCACUAUCAUUUAAGUAUUGUUCUUCUUCGCUCC